rnacentral:lncRNA from 1 species
CUGCUGCGCACCCACGUCGCCUCGCCAAGCCUUUGCCUUGGAGACCGAGGUUAAUCUCAAGCUCUGCAGGGGCCCCUCUCCGAAGGCUAGGGUGGGAGCGCCCAUGAGUGCCUGGGGCCUUAGCCUCGGGUCAGGCAGGGCCCGCUGGUAUCUGCCGCCCUCUAGAGACCGGUGGUGCAACUGCGCCCCGGCCUCUCCCGGCCUGACAGCUUCUGGACCCUUGUGACGAAAACACGGAGAGCCGGGCGCGGUGGCUCAAGCCUGUAAUCCCAGCACUUUGGGAGGCCGAGACGGGCGGAUCACGAGAUGCUGAAGGACGAGGUUCGCACCCUCACAUAGCAACUCCGUGUUUCACAACCAGCACCUCUUCAAGGACAAGGUGGUGCUGGAUGUGGGCUCAGGCAGGGGCAUCCUCUGCACGUUCGCUGCCGAGGCUGAAGGGUCGUCAGGGAGGUGGACAUCUAUACUGUCAAGGUGGGAGACCGGAUGUUCACCUCCCGCUUCUGUCUGCAGGUGAAGCAGAAUGACUAGGUGCACGCCCUGGUGGCCUACUUCAAUAUCCAGUUAUAGAACUGAUAACAGGUGAGCUUUCUUGGGGGUCAUGUCCUCCACCAGAGAUUUCAAUGGAAUGAUCCCAUUUAGCCCCCACUACAAGCUCAUGGGGGUCUGUUAUUAUCCUUGUCUUGUGCGGGUGGAAAGUCUCCAUUGUGCAGAGUGUUGAAAUCAGAAUUUGUACAUGAAACCACAGUCCUGAAUCAUUCAUAUCCCAGGACCCUCUUCCCUUUCUCUGACUC